GACUCUCCAGAAAACCACACAGAUGCUUCACUCCUGAAUCCUGCAGGUCGUAGUUCCUGCUCAGGUCCAGUUGUGUCAGAUGGGAGGGGUUGGACUUCAGAGCUGAGGCCACGACUUCACAGUGACUCUCUGAGAGUCCACAGUAAGAAACUACAAAGGUU